UACGGGGGGGCAAGCGUUGUUCGGAAUUACUGGGCGUAAAGGGCUCGUAGGCGGCCAACUAAGUCAGACGUGAAAUCCCUCGGCUUAACCGGGGAACUGCGUCUGAUACUGGAUGGCUUGAAUCCGGGAGAGGGAUGCGGAAUUCCAGGUGUAGCGGUGAAAUGCGUAGAUAUCUGGAGGAACACCGGUGGCGAAGGCGGCUCUCGUGGGACGGUACUGACGCUGAGGAGCGAAAGCGUGGGGAGCGAACAGGAUUGAGAAACCCU
rnacentral:rRNA from 1 species